rnacentral:rRNA from 1 species
GACGAACGCUGGCGGCGUGCUUAACACAUGCAAGUCGAGCGGUAAGGCCCUUUCGGGGGUACACGAGCGGCGAACGGGUGAGUAACACGUGGGUGACCUGCCCUCAGCUCUGGGAUAAGCCUGGGAAACCGGGUCUAAUACCGGAUAUGACUCCAUGACGCAUGUUGUGGGGUGGAAAGCCUUGUGCGGCUGAGGAUGGGCCCGCGGCCUAUCAGCUUGUUGGUGGGGUGAUGGCCUACCAAGGCGACGACGGGUAGCCGGCCUGAGAGGGCGACCGGCCACACUGGGACUGAGACACGGCCCAGACUCCGUACGGGGGGCGAGCAGUGGGGAAGUCUUGCGCAAUGGGCGAAACGACCUGACGCAGCGACGCCGCGUGAGGGA